rnacentral:rRNA from 1 species
UUGACCUCGGAUCAGGUAGGGAUACCCGCUGAACUUACAACAGGGAUUGCCCUAGUAACGGCGAGUGAAGCGGCAACAGCUCAAAUUUGAAAUCUGGCGUCUUUGGCGUCCGAGUUGUAAUUUGCAGAGGGCGCUUUGGCAUUGGCAGCGGUCCAAGUUCCUUGGAACAGGACGUCACAGAGGGUGAGAAUCCCGUACGUGGUCGCUAGCCUUUACCGUGUAAAGCCCCUUCGACGAGUCGAGUUGUUUGGGAAUGCAGCUCUAAAUGGGAGGUAAAUUUCUUCUAAAGCUAAAUACUGGCCAGAGACCGAUAGCGCACAAGUAGAGUGAUCGAAAGAUGAAAAGCACUUUGGAAAGAGAGUUAAAAAGCACGUGAAAUUGUUGAAAGGGAAGCGCUUGCAGCCAGACUUGCCUGUAGUUGCUCAUCCGGGUUUUUACCCGGUGCACUCUUCUACGGGCAGGCCAGCAUCAGUUUGGGCGGUUGGAUAAAGGUCUCUGUCAUGUACCUCCUCUCGGGGAGAUCUUAUAGGGGAGACGACAUGCAACCAGCCUGGACUGAGGUCCGCGCAUCUGCUAGGAUGCUGGCGUAAUGGCUGUAAGCGG